AUCCUUUUGUAGUUCAUUAGCAUGGUGAGUGGGUAUUCAUGCUUUUGCAUGAUGUGUGGCCUCCUUCAAACCUUGUUACAACAUUGGCAUAUUACCCAUCUGACU